UGUGUUUCCUCAAGCUCUGAAUCACUGGAGCCCCAAUAGUCAGAUUAGGAACGAAGUGCCUGCAUUUGCAAAUAGCCAGCAUAGUUAAAAUAAAGUACUUACAGGAUAAGUUAUUUUUUAACUGUUAGAACUAAUUUAUCCUCAAUUUUUCAAUUACAAAUUGGAAUUCUUCAUUCAAACUUGGUAACUUUAUAAUAAGAAUUAAUCCUUUUUGACAGACAUCAACAUAGCUUAUAACAUUGAAAUAAUAUUUCAGACAUUAUUUUUUAAAAAAAAAUUGUUCCCUGGUGAAUUAAGUGAUUACAUAAUGAAAAGUGACACUUGUUCAUAAUAAAUUGCUCUGGUGUAAUCCCAUUCAUAUAACAAACAUGACACGAGCAUUCUUCACCAUCUUGAAAACAAUGCUUAUUUUCUCUAUUUUGUGCUGAGACAAUGCUGGAUUGUUGAUCUCGGUGCAAAAAAACAGAGUGAGCAGCAUGUUGGAUUGUUGAUCCCAAUCCAACAGAAUAGAGUGAACAGCAUAACGGUUGGCAGAUGACCACUUGAUGCUUAUUGAAACUUUAUUUUUUCAUUUUUUGCAACUUGCAAUCUUUUAAUGCUUUUAUCAGUGGCAGGAUUACAUUCCAAAAGGUAUGCCAAAAGCAAAACUAAAUAUCUACUGUUUCCUUUCAUAGGUUGGUUCAGAUAACAUUCAGGUUUAUUGUUUCCAUGUACUUUUGAAUGUGCAGGUCUCCAUUUUAAUUCUAGACUCUAGAUAAGUUACAUAAUAAGCUCCCCAAAAUUCUAGAUAUAUGUAUAUGUAUAGAAUAUUAUGAUAGGAAACACAUAUAGGGUAAUCGAGAGGCAGGCAAAAACUGAACAAGAAGGAUCUGAACGGGUGGUAAGGACAGUGACAAUCUGGUAGGAGAUGUUGAUUUCAGGCAUGCCUACAUUCUAAGGUAAUUCCUGUAAACCAGAAUAAGAGAUCUUACAAUCAUUUGAGCAACUUAAAGGGGGAAAAGAUACUUGAGAACAAACUAGGUCCUCAUCACCAUUAGACACUUCAGUAGCAAACCAAAACAGAUGCAACAUAUCCGCAUUGGAAAGUAGAGACCGACUCACCCAUCCUGUAAGAAAAUAUGAAAAAUAAAACAGAGGUCAGCAUAAGAUAACCUUUAAAUUUCGAAUAAAAAUUAUCAUCAAUUCAUACAAACAUGUACAAAAAUAUCCUGCUGAAUAACAGAGGCAGCGGAGUUCAGCAAAACUGAAUACACAAGCGCACAACUGCAAGGCUACCAUGAAACAAAUGCUUGAGGACAGCAUGAGCAGGAAACUGAAACUGAUGCAAAGCAAGGUCAAAAUUCAGCUAACUUUUCAUGCAGACAUACAUAGUAAUACACUAAGGGUAGGAUCAAAGACACAAAAGGCCAAUUCUGAAUAAAUCCUACAGAAUAGGCGUCACUCUAAAUGCCAUAGCACUGCAUGGAAUCGAAUUCGCAUGGUAAUUCAUCCAACAGGAAGUUAGUCAACAAUAGCUCGAUCCUGGCCUCUCGCCACAGGACACAACUAUAUACCCAGAACUGCUACCGUAGCGUACUCAACCCUACCCAAGAAUCUAUUGUUCGGAUCAGAGGCCAGUAUCGUUUUCGUACGAGCGCGGCUGCGCCCUCGAGGGACAAGACUGGUGAUGGGACGGGAUUGGCCGGAGGUGGAUCGUACCAUGAUGUCCAUGUGGAGCCAGUCGGCGCCGAGGCGGACCAUGCGCUCGGCCUCCGAGGCGAGGUUGGCGAAGUCCGAUGAGAGCAUCGACGGCGCUAUCUUCGCCGACGCCAUGUCCGGUUCGCUUCCUCCCCCGACUGGUGGUGG
rnacentral:lncRNA from 1 species